CAUAAAGAAAAACCACCCUGGCAGGUGGUUUUUCAAAGGUUAGCUAAUCCUGGCAGAUUAUCUAACCAGGUAAUCUGGCUUAAGCAGAGCGCAGACCACCAAAACUUGUUCUUCUAGUGUAGCCAGAAUCAGGCUGAUACUUCAAGAACUCUGUUACCAACUUAUAAAUCUCGCUCUGCUAACCCGGUUACCAAUGGCUGCUGCCAGUGGCGUUUUUACGUGUCUUUCCGGGUUGGACUCAAGACGAUAGUUACCGGAUAAGGCGCAGCGGUCGGGCUGAACGGGGGGUUCGUGCACACAGCCCAGCUUGGAGCGAACGACCUACACCGAGCCGAGAUACCAACAGCGUGAGCUAUGAGAAAGCGCCACGCUUCCCGAAGGGAGAAAGGCGGAGAGGUAUCCGGUAAGCGGCAGGGUCGGAACAGGAGAGCGCACGAGGGAGCUUCCAGGGGGAAACGCCUGGUAUCUUUAUAGUCCUGUCGGGUUUCGCCACCUCUGACUUGAGCGUCUAUUUUUGUGAUGCUCGUCAGGGGGGCGGAGCCUAUGGAAAAA
rnacentral:sRNA from 1 species